GACGGAUGGGGCUAGCGUUGUUCGGAAUUACUGGGCGUAAAGGGCGCGUAGGCGGCCAAUUAAGUUAGACGUGAAAGCCCUGGGCUUAACCUAGGAACUGCGUUUAAUACUGGUUGGCUAGAGUUUGGUAGAGGAAAGCGGAAUUCCUAGUGUAGAGGUGAAAUUCGUAGAUAUUAGGAAGAACACCAGAGGCGAAGGCGGCUUUCUGGACCAAUACUGACGCUGAGGCGCGAAAGCGUGGGGAGCAAACAGGAUUAGAUACCCGGGUAGU
rnacentral:rRNA from 1 species